CCUACGGGAGGCAGCAGUGAGGAAUAUUGGUCAAUGGGCGCGAGCCUGAACCAGCCAAGUAGCGUGAAGGAUGACUGCCCUACGGGUUGUAAACUUCUUUUAUGAAGGAAUAAAGUGAGGCACGUGUGCCUUUUUGUAUGUACGUUAUGAAUAAGGAUCGGCUAACUCCGUGCCAGCAGCCGCGGUAAUACGGAGGUGCCGUGCGUUAUCCGUAUUGAUUGGGUUGAAAGGGAGCGUAGAGGGGUUGUUAAGUCAGUUGUGAAGGUUUGCGGCUCACCCGUAACAUUGCAAUUGAUACUGGCAGUCUUGAGUACAGUUGAGGUAUGCGGCAUUCGUGUUGUAGCGGU
rnacentral:rRNA from 1 species